rnacentral:misc_RNA from 1 species
GUCAUUGAUUUGGUCCCAAUCUCUAUCAUUGAUUUGGUCUCAAUCUCUGCGUGAUUUCCUGUCUUUCCAUUCUCUUCUUUAUGCCCCCGCAAGAUCGGUGGUACUAGCCUAACACUGAUCUUGGAAACACAAAAUAAGAAUUGUCGCUUUGGUAGCACCUUUGUAAGAGCAUCUGCCAACUAAUCACCAAAGUGCACAUAUUG